AGCUGAUCAGCAUGCCGCGUGUGUGAAGAAGGCCUUCGGGUUGUAAAGCACUUUUGUCCGGAAAGAAAUCCUUGGCUCUAAUACAGUCGGGGGAUGACGGUACCGGAAGAAUAAGCACCGGCUAACUACGUGCCAGCAGCCGCGGUAAUACGUAGGGUGCGAGCGUUAAUCGGAAUUACUGGGCGUAAAGCGUGCGCAGGCGGUUUGCUAAGACCGAUGUGAAAUCCCCGGGCUCAACCUGGGAACUGCAUUGGUGACUGGCAGGCUAGAGUAUGGCAGAGGGGGGUAGAAUUCCACGUGUAGCAGUGAAAUGCGUAGAGAUGUGGAGGAAUACCGAUGGCGAAGGCAGCCCCCUGGGCCAAUACUGACGCUCAUGCACGAAAGCGUGGGGAGCAAACAGGAUUAGAUACCCCGGUAGUCAA
rnacentral:rRNA from 1 species